rnacentral:rRNA from 1 species
UACGUAGGGGGCAAGCGUUGUCCGGAAUCAUUGGGCGUAAAGCGCGUGUAGGCGGCUCGGUAAGUCCGCUCUGAAAGCCCAGGGCUCAACCCUGGGAUGCGGGUGGAUACUGCCGAGCUCGAGUCCGGAAGAGGCGAGUGGAAUUCCUGGUGUAGCGGUGAAAUGCGCAGAUAUCAGGAGGAACACCGAUGGCGAAGGCAGCUCGCUGGGACGUGACUGACGCUGAGACGCGAAAGCGUGGGGAGCAAAC